rfam:Loxodonta africana unplaced genomic scaffold scaffold_0, whole genome shotgun sequence.
GUAUUGGUAGUUCAGUGGUAGAAUUCUCACCUUCCAUGCAGGAGACUCGAGUUCAAUUUCUGGCCAAUGCA